rnacentral:rRNA from 1 species
GAUGAACGCUGGCUACAGGCUUAACACAUGCAAGUCGAGGGGAAACGACGGGGAAGCUUGCUUCCCCGGGCGUCGACCGGCGCACGGGUGAGUAACGCGUAUCCAACCUGCCUCUGACUGAGGGAUAACCCGUCGAAAGUCGGCCUAAUACCUCAUGGUAUCGUCUGCGGGCAUCCAACGACGAUUAAAGAUUUCAUCGGUCAGGGAUGGGGAUGCGUCUGAUUAGCUUGUUGGCGGGGUAACGGCCCACCAAGGCUACGAUCAGUAGGGGUUCUGAGAGGAAGGUCCCCCACAUUGGAACUGAGACACGGUCCAAACUCCUACGGGAGGCAGCAGUGAGGAAUAUUGGUCAAUGGGCGAGAGCCUGAACCAGCCAAGUAGCGUGCAGGAAGACGGCCCUAUGGGUUGUAAACUGCUUUUAUGCGGGGAUAAAGUGAGGGUCGUGUCCCUCAUUGCAGGUACCGCAUGAAUAAGGACCGGCUAAUUCCGUG